AUUUAAGGAAUUAUGCAGGAAGGCUUUGAAUAUCAUCUCCGGAUCGUGACCACGGAUGUACUGGCACGGUUCGUCGAGAUGGCAGGGAAGGUCGGGUUAACCCGGCCUUUUUGCGU
rnacentral:sRNA from 1 species